CCCUUAGAUGUUCUGGGCCGCACGCGUGCUACACUGAGUGGAUCAGCGGGUCAGGUUGCGCGAAAGUGUUUCCUAAUCUUGAAAUCCGCUCGUGAUGGGGAUUGACGGUUGCAAUUUUCCGUCAUGAACGAGGAAUACCUUGUAAGCGCGGGUCAUCAUCCCGCGCUGAAUACGUCCCUGCCCUUUGUACACACCGCCCGUCGCUCCUACCGAUUGAGUGGUCCGGUGAGGCUUUGGGAUCUGAGCAAAAAGAGCGUUUCGCUCGUUUGGCUCGGAAAACUCAGUCGAACCUUAUCGUUUAGAGGAAGGAGAAGUCGUAACA
rnacentral:rRNA from 1 species